rnacentral:rRNA from 1 species
CUGAUGCAGCAACGCCGCGUGAAGGAWGAAGGUUUUCGGAUCGUAAACUUCUAUCAAUAGGGAAGAAAUAAAUGACGGUACCUAAAUAAGAAGCMCCGGCUAAHUACGUGCCAGCAGCCGCGGUAAUACGUAGGGUGCCAGCGUUAUCCGGAAUUACUGGGUGUAAAGGGAGAGUAGGCGGUAUGAUAAGCAAGGUGUGAAAGCCUGUAGCUCAACUACAGGAUUGCAUUUURAACUAUCAAACUAGAGUAUGGGAGAGGUAAGUGGAAUUCCUAGUGUAGCGGUGAAAUGCGUAGAUAUUAGGAAGAACACCAGUGGCGAAGGCGACUUACUGGACCAAAACUGACGCUGAGGCUCGAAAGCGUGGGGAGCAAACAGGAUUAGAUACCCUGGUAGUCCACGCCGUAAAACGAUGAGUGCUAGGUGUCGGGGAGAGAUCUCUCCGGUGCCGCAGCUAA